rnacentral:sRNA from 1 species
GCGAUGAGCUAAUUUGCGUAAGCCGGGAAGCCUGCCUUUGGCAGAACGUCUGGAUGUGGCCAGCCGUCUUUCCGCCGCAAAAUACGUCAGAAAAAGCUGUCAUGGAGGGGAUAU